rnacentral:lncRNA from 1 species
AAGUCUUAACCAAGUUCCCUAAAAAGGAAAAAAAAAAAAAAGUCUUAACCAAGUUUCUGACAAUGGGGUCCUCUUACACUCACUCUAACCCCCUCAAACACAAGAAAAGGGAGAGCAUUUCUCCAAAUCCAACAAGUGACGAAUAACUUGUACUCACCACUACCAUCGCCGAUUCAAGAAACCAUGUCUAUAUCAUCAGCACACCAAAUCCAAGAAUAAUCAGCCCAUCAGCAUUUAUAAACAUACUUCACCCCGAUACAACCCAAAUAAUUUUGAAAAACGUCAAGAUUCCUCUACUCAAUAAUUUUGAGGCCCGAUUCACCUAAUGCAAAGCAAAUAUCGAAAUAUAACGACUAAUCUCAAUCAUUUUUUUUUAUUUUAAAUUAAUAUUGGAUCAACAAAAUAAAAGAACACUGCAACCAUCACCUCGUUACGAGGUAACUCUUUUACUUUUAAUUUUUUUGAUAUAGGUCUUUGAUUAGAAAUUAUUCAGAAUUUCUAAUACCCUAUCCAAAACAAAAAUCCCAAUUUUUUCCUCAUCGACAACAAACUCCAACAUACUAGAACCAAAUAGAACGACAAUACACAAAAUUUCAGAUGAUUCACAUUUUUCCUAUUAAAGAAUCGCCACAUGAUGCUCAAAUACAUGGAAAACAACAAAGUAACGAUUGGAUUCAUCAUGCAAUCGGUCCCAAAAAUCCAAAUAAACCAACAGAUCAAUAUAAGGGGAAAUACACACAAUAUAGAGGCGCAAAAACCACACCGUUUCUCGGAGAUUAAUCGUUCACGAUUCCGGAACGAUGAAGACGAAAGCGACAGAGAUCACAACGGGGAGCGCCUUUCUCCCGUGGAUGUUUAUAUAUAGGAGGAGAUUGUUUGGAGGCGAUGCGCUCUGUUAACGCGGUGACAUGUGAGGACAUCGGAUGAGCCUUCCUUUAUCUCCAAGCAAAUGCCGCAGUGGCACGCGAGACCGUCCAUCUGCUUUUCCGUGUAUUUUUUAUGAGUUGGGUCACGUGUCGAUGGUGUAGUGGCGUUUUAUGGUUGGAGUAAAUGAGAAGUAUGGUGCGUCAUCCAAUUCAAAAAUUUAUUNNNNNNNNNNNNNNNNNNNNUGAGAAGUAUGGUGCGUCAUCCAAUUCAAAAAUUUAUUAUAAAUAAAUAUAAAAAAAAAAAUUUACUUACAAAAUUAAUAUAUUAUCUAAUUUAUUUAUCAAACUAAUGUAAAUAUGUAAAACAUUAUUUCAAAUGGUAUUUUAUAAUGUCACAUCACCUAUCACAGAUAUAAAAAAAAAAUUCAUACGAUGAAAAUACCAUUUGGAACGAUAUUUUUAAUUUUUCUUAAUAAAAAAUAUCUCAAAAAAAAGAUCUCAAAAAAAAAUGCUAUAAAAAAUUGCGUCUUUGAAAACGUCAUUCAAAAAUAUAAUUUCUUUUAGUAUUUUUAUUUAUUAAAUAUCUAAAAAAAUAACAAAAAAAUAUACCUGGGGCGACCACCACAAAAAAAUAAAAAAUUAAAAAUUAAAGUCAUCAUUUAAUAAUAAUAUAAUAUAAUAAUAUAUAAAGUAUAAUAUAAUAUAUCAUAAUAAUAAUAUAAUAUAAUAUAUAAUAAUAUUUAUAUUAGAUAUUAUAAUACAUUAUUACAAUAUAAUGUACUAUAUUAUAUUUUAAUAUAGUAUAUUAUAAUAUAAUAUAAUUACUAUACUAUAUUUUAAUAUUAUAUAUUAUAAAAUAAAAAAGAAUAUUAUAUUAUAAUAUUAUAAAAAAUUAUUAUAAGAUAUUAAAAUAUAAUAAUAAUAAUAAUAUAAUAUAUAUUUUAUUAUAAAAUAUAAGAUAUUAAUAUAAUAUAAUAUAUUAUUAUAAUAAUAUAUAACAAUAUAAUUAUAUCAUAAUAUUUGUAUAAUACUAUAAUAAUAUAAUAAUAUAAGAUUUUAUAUAUAAUAAUAUAUACUAAUAUAAUAUAAUAUAUUAUAUUAAUAUAUAAUCAUAUUAUAAAAUAUAUAUUAUAUUAAAAUAAAAUAUUAAUAUAAUAUAAUAUAUUUAAUAAAAUAAUAUAAUAUAUUAUAAUAUAAUAAUAUAUCAAUAUAAUAUUAUAUUAUAUUAUAUUAUAAUAAUAUUAACAAGCUUUUUAAACAUAUAAAUUUUAUUAUUAGUGGUUUUUCUCUCGUACAAAUCUUUAAGCUUCCUCCAAAGUAUAAUAGCAAAUAUUUCAUUGUCUACAUGAUGGUAAAUAUUGUCAUCCAACCAUUAUCGAAUAAAGCCAACACAUUAUCGGUGCAAAAAUUUUUACUUCUCAUUGGUCGUAUCUUUAGGCUUGGCAUCAUCAUCUUCUAAGGGAGCAUGCAUCUCCUUACAAUAAAGUAAGUCUAACAUCUUGCCCUUUCAUGUCUCCAAUUAUCACCAUUUAGGCUCACCAUUCUAUUUAUAUUUACCUCCAUUACUAACUUAGGAAUUUUAUAAAAUACCUUAUACGCACCAACUAUAGCUCUGAUACUACUUAUUGGGAAGGAGUGAGUGCUUUCUUCCCCUCUUAGGUAAGGUAUUGAUAAUAUUUCACAAGCACAAUGUACAAUGGCAAACAACAACCCAAUAAAUAUAAAAAAUCAAACAACUAAGAGAAUAGGAACAAUAAACUUUUACGUGAAAAAUACUUUAAGGAAGAGAAAAAACACGAAGCACCAAGUGGAAAUGUACUAAUCUAAACUACAUCACACCGAUCAGUGUCAUCUCCGUACCGAUCAGUACCGAUCAAAAAACUAAUCCGUAUCAUCCCCAUACCGAUCAGUACCAGUACUGUACUGACUUAUACCGAUCCAAACCGCAUCGCACCGAGCGGUUGGUAAAAGCACCAUAUCAUACUGAUGCCUUGCCGACUUGUACCGACCCAUAUCGCACUGUACGUAGCGGUUCGUGCCCUACCGACUUGUCUGAUUUUAUUUAUUUUUGAAUAUUUUAAAAAAUAUAAUUAAAUUAUCAGAUAUAUUAUUAUUAUGUACGUUAUAAUUUCUAUAGCCCUUUUAGCAUAACUUUUUCUCUCCUAAUCUUCUAAGACACAUGAGACUAUGUGUAUCCAUGUUCACAAAGCAUAACAUCCGAUCACUUGAAAUUAAAAUAAUCUUUGAUAAAAAUAAUGAUUAAUAAUAUAAAAUAGAAUAAAAAAUAUCAAAUAUAAAAAAAUAGUACAAUAAAAGUUUCAAAAAUACUAAAUAUAAAUCUAAAAAAUACUAAGUCCCACAAGGAUAUCGUGAUGCCCGUGGUCGCUUGGACCUUCUAAGGAAGAUCCUCAACGGCCGCUCCUACUCCUGUAUCUGCUGUGAUGGCUCCUCUAUAUCAAUGGAGGUCUGCUGGUCAUGCUGCUCAAGAAUAACCUCCUCAAUCUCUUCAGAAAUGAUCUGCUGUGCUGUCGGAGCAUUUGCGGACUGAGUGACACCCUCAAUCCCCUCAUCUGAAUUUACGGAUGGCCCUGAAAAGAAAAUGUCAUACUCAUGUGGCCAAUUGGUACUCGGUGAUGUUAUCUGGGGUAUGUAGGAAGAAGAAGGCUCUGUCAUCCAUAGAUCAAGUGAUGACAUCUGUGGAAUAUGCGGUGAUGGCAUAUGUGAAACAUAUGAUGAUGGCGUAUAUCUCAUAUGUGACGCAUCGGCUGCCCCAUACCAAGACGCACAGCUAUCUGGGUCAACGCCAAUCACCACCAAUGGUCCCGAACUUAUUCUCUCUAUCUCACGUAGUAUGUGGAUUCGCUCGUCCUCAUCAGCCGUAGAUAAAGCACGACGAGCAUCCAACAUAAGACCUGACAUAGAAUCAGUUUACGUAAUAAAAAUAAAAUUAACAAUAUAUUAUAAAAUAUAAAAUAAAAAUAUAACAGAACUACAUAAAAUAUUUUUUAACUUAAAUUAUUAGAAAUAAAUAAAGUAUAAUUUUCGUGAUCUUACCAAAAGACGUACAGUAGAACUCUCAUCCUCAUACCCUGGAACUGCAUACCGAAGCUAUCCAAUGACUCGCACUGUAAUGCUAAGAAAUUAAGCCAUGUAGUCUUCGAUAUAUAGACGACCUCUCAAAAUAGGAUCACCAUGAACUAUGUGAUCUCGACAUGCAUCCCAAAUGGUGAUGUACUCUGCAUGUCUGAUACGCCAGUCAAUACGAGCUCUCCCUCAUCGAUCAAUACGAUGAAGUCUCUGGCUGAUAUCAAACUACUCUGAGAUGCUCUGAAUCUGGCCAAACUGCCGCAUGACACGAUCUGAAAGAUGCCACUCCACCACAUCAAAACAAAUAAGUAGUAUCUUAGCAGUCCAUAUAUCAUGUCCAACUGUACACAUNNNNNNNNNNNNNNNNNNNNNNNNNNNNNNNNNNNNNNNNNNNNNNNNNNNNNNNNNNNNNNNNNNNNNNNNNNNNNNNNNNNNNNNNNNNNNNNNNNNNNNNNNNNNNNNNNNNNNNNNNNNNNNNNNNNNNNNNNNNNNNNNNNNNNNNNNNNNNNNNNNNNNNNNNNNNNNNNNNNNNNNNNNNNNNNNNNNNNNNNNNNNNNNNNNNNNNNNNNNNNNNNNNNNNNNNNNNNNNNNNNNNNNNNNNNNNNNNNNNNNNNNNNNNNNNNNNNNNNNNNNNNNNNNNNNNNNNNNNNNNNNNNNNNNNNNNNNNNNNNNNNNNNNNNNNNNNNNNNNNNNNNNNNNNNNNNNNNNNNNNNNNNNNNNNNNNNNNNNNNNNNNNNNNNNNNNNNNNNNNNNNNNNNNNNNNNNNNNNNNNNNNNNNNNNNNNNNNNNNNNNNNNNNNNNNNNNNNNNNNNNNNNNNNNNNNNNNNNNNNNNNNNNNNNNNNNNNNNNNNNNNNNNNNNNNNNNNNNNNNNNNNNNNNNNNNNNNNNNNNNNNNNNNNNNNNNNNNNNNNNNNNNNNNNNNNNNNNNNNNNNNNNNNNNNNNNNNNNNNNNNNNNNNNNNNNNNNNNNNNNNNNNNNNNNNNNNNNNNNNNNNNNNNNNNNNNNNNNNNNNNNNNNNNNNNNNNNNNNNNNNNNNNNNNNNNNNNNNNNNNNNNNNNNNNNNNNNNNNNNNNNNNNNNACAAAAAUUGAUAGAGUUAAAAUAAAAUAAAAUUAGUAAGCUAAAAUUUUAAUAGAUUAUGAAUACUAUAAAAUGAUAUUUGUAAAUAAAUCAAAUUUAUCCAUCUAUAUGUAUCAACUAAUGUAUCCAGUUGGCACCUAUAAACCCGUGCCACUCUUGUCGAUACGUGAUGAACGUUGAAUGCAACGUUCCAUCUGUUUCACAGUUUACACAUGUUAAAUAAAUUUUAUCGAAUUUAAAAUAGUACUAAAUUUUAAAUAAAAGAAGUAAUAUUUUUAUACAUAUAUCCCAAUGAUCCGUCUAGUCUGAAUAGAACAUCAGGAUCAUGCUGCUCCGGUGGCAUCUCGAGCAACUAUCGUCGUAAUAGACUGAUAGUCGGUAUACGCUUUCAUACCCAAAUCUACAAAUUUAAAAAAAAUCAUACAUGAUAUACCCAAUCUGAGCUACAAUAGAAUAUCGAUAACGAUAAAAAUUUUUAAUUCACAUACCUGUAAUAAUACAAGAUAACCACAAAUCUCGCUCUGAUCAGCAUAAAAACUCCAACACAUAGCUCUGUACAAACAAGCUAGUACUGCAUUGUGCCAAUUGAGUCUACGAGCGAAAUCUAAAUUCUCUAAUAAUAAUAAAAAUAUUAACUUCAUCUUAUUCGAUGAAGUAUCAGAUAAUAAAACACCAUCUAACAACUGCACUCCUAACAUACUAAUAAAAUUUAUUUACAAAUAUCAUAAAAUACCACCAAGAGAAGAAGAUCUCUCCCCAAAAUACCACUGGGAGAAGAAGAAUGGAUAGAGGAAACAAAACGGCGGACACCAUGGCUGAGUGGAUGUCUCAGGUGCAGUCGGAUUCCCCGGAAGCUCAUAAUGAUGCCCUGCAGGCGCUCUCUUCCCUCACCAAGGUCAGCACUCACAACAGGAACCUCCUCGCCCAGACACAGGACGCCAUCCCCCACAUCCUCGCCCUCUCCCAGUCCCCCUCCACCCUCACCCAGACCCUCUCCCUCUCCGUGCUCUUCAACCUCUCCCUCAACCCCAACCUCAAGCAGUCCUUGGUCGAAGCCAACAUCAUCCACCACCUCAACUCCAUCAUCUUCUCCCCCAGCUCGCCGCAGGCCGGCAAGCUGGCCGCCUUCCUUCUCUGCAGCCUCGCCAUGCUGGUCAAGAACAAGGCACCUUUCGGCGUCGCGGGCACCGUGGAAGUGGUCAUCCAAGCGCUCAAAAGCCAUUCCAACAGCUCUGCGGCCCACCACCUUCUCAGCUCUUUGUCUGAGCUGGUGCAGUUCCACGGCAACUGCACCCUCGCUAUCCGGGCCGGAGCGGUGCUUGCCCUGGUUCAGAUCAUGGAAGGACCCGCACGGGACCUCGCCGGCCCUUCCCUUGCAAUACUUGGCCUCAUGGCAAGGUUCGAGGAAGGCAUCCAGGCAAUUCGGGCGGUCGAUGGAGUUGUCGGCUUGCUGGUGGAUGGGCUGACGUCGGGAUGCAUGGUGAGCAGGGAGAGCGCCGCGGAAAUUCUAAUCACAUUGUUCGCGGCGAGUGAGGAGUGUCUGAGGGAGGCUGCGAGGAAGCACGAAUUCUCUUCUGUGCUCGCCGAUUUGUCGAUUCGGGGCUCAGACAAGGCUCGCCAGAAGGCCGGGGUGCUCAUGCAGAUAGAUACUCAUGGAGGCCAAUUUGGAUUGCUAUGUUCAAGAAGGGGGUCUCCAUGCCUCCGUGGUUCUGAGAUGAGAUCACCAAGCAGGCAGUUGCAGCUAGCGGAACAACAAAAGCAUCAGAAACUCCUUCAAGAUUCUCUUCCUUCAUGGGCUUUGCUCCCUUCCAUAUUUUGUUUCAUUGUUUGCCGGCACCUUCCUCUACGUCAUAUGUAGGUUUCUUCUGUUCCGGACACCGUUUUCUAAUCGUCAUGAUUAUUCUGAGAUUGUGAUGCAUGUGGUGAUCCAAUGAUUUAGCUCUUUGCAAAUUCUAGACUUGCAAAUUUAGGCUUGGAUUUAAUAUGAAAGCAUCAAAAUCGUUUCGUACGUAGGCAUUAUACGUUGCACAUCCCAGGCUUACAGUCCAUGAUGAAUUUCAGAUUUUUUUCUUUAUUUAUAUCCAAAUUUAUUUCUUCUUAUAUCCCUCUAAACUAAAAUUCUAAAAGAUUCCUUCAAGAAAAUUGAAUUCUUGAUGAAUUAAACAAAAAAUCAUUUUUUGUAUUACUUGAUCUAAAUAGAAGUGGAAAUCAAGUAAUUUUAAGGAAAAUUUCUCCAAAUUCUUAUCAAAAAUUAUGAAUCUUAAAAUUUAGAAUUCAAGCUCGACAAUUCUUCUUAUCUAUUUUAUCUAUUCUUUUUUAUCUUCUUUAUUAUAGAGAUGCAACAAGAUCAUGGUCGUUGUCUAUCCCUUCCUUUAGUCCAUCCUUGCGAAGGCCACACAAUCCUCCCAUCUAUACAAAUACCCACAUUUCCCAACUAGUAUUGCUGCCUCCAACACCUGGACUAGUUCAUGCUAGGCCUCAUCAUAGUCACUGGUAUUGGCCAACGAGGCGAUCAUGAUCAAGAGGGUGACAUUUUGAAAGUGAUAACAUCAUUGAGUAAGGUGAAGUAUCCGAACUUCAUGGUGUCAAGGGGAUACACAAGAUACUAUACCAGUCGAUAGCUAGAUUUUUUAUUGUUAAUUGAUAAUUAUAUGUCUAGCAAUAAGCUGAUAACAUCAUUAAGCAUUUUGCUAGGAUGGCCACGUCCUUAAGUCGCCCAUGCACCACCUCAUUGUGUUCAAUAUGGUCGGUGAUCUAGUUUUCUUAGCAACAUCAUCCAUAAGGACAUCAAGUCCCUUAGCAUACUAAUCGAUAUGGAUUUCGAGAUACAUCUAUCAAACUUUUAGCUAGAGCAACCGGUGGUGAUGGCAAUAAUGGCAAAGGAGACAGUAAUGGUGUUGAUGUCAUUGAUGCUAGUGGAGUUAUUGAGAUAUGUAGCAUCAAAAACCAUGAUAGCAUAGUGCAUGAUGAGGGAAGGAGGUGUGUAUUGAUUUAGGAUAGUGUUGUCAGAGUCACUGAGUAGGCCACGGCCGAGAAUGUUCGCAAGCAAGGAGGAUAUCAUGAAGUGGGUGAAGACUUAGUUCUAACAAGUCCUAAUCUUAGAGCUCUUAGAGCCUAAGUUGCUAGAGCUAGACUCUUAAUCAUUGAAGCGGAAGGGCUUCCACCUCAAAAUGAAUGUAGUCUCCUCUAUGCAACCUCUAAGCUGCUUGAUCAACCCUCCAUGUGGGCAUUAUCUUCAUGCUUGAAAGCUGUUGGGUGUAGAGAGGAGAGAGAGAGUAGCAUCAACGUUGACAAAAAGAAUGGAGGGAGUGGAUAAGGAGGAUUGGGAGCUACCUUUGGUGGUUGGCAUGGUGGAGGAUUAGAUUCCUCUUUGCCACAAGAACUCCAAACCUCUCCACCAAUUGUGCUAGGAUUUCUUAGAGUACUCUCUCGUGGUCUAAUUAAAAGAAAGAGAUACUCAAGGAACAACAUCAUCUAUUAGUUAUCAUAUAAUGAUCACAUGAUAAUUUAUGCUAAACUUUGCCUUACAAAUUUAGGCAGCAACCGGACCGCAUCACUGUGAUAAAUUAAUUUGAUAGUGCUACUUAAAAUUUUUUUAGUUUUGGACCCAAGUACUAUUCAUGAAAAUGUGAAGGAUCAAAGUGUAUUUUUGUCAUUUUCGCCAAUUGAACUCGUUUCCCUUUCGAUUCCCAUGCGUAGCAAGAUCCCUGCCCUUUGUGGCCAUUGCCAUUCUCCCACGACGCCUUCCUAGGCACCGGGGAGAACCCAAUUCCCGCCCUUCUCUCCACUCUCCUCCUCCUCGAGACCUCUCCGCUCUCUGGCGUCUCCUCCCCCUCUCCUCCCGCCUCCUCCCCUUUCUCUCGUUGGUCCAACAUUCGAUCUAUAUGAAGAGGCCCAGAUGUGUUCUUCUUCCCCAGACCCCAUUUUCUCGUCUCCUGCUCAUUUUUUACAUCAUUUCGAGCUCUGUUCCCGGUAAAGAAAUCAAUUUCUCUACCUUUUUCUUGAUGUAUGUAUGUAUGUAUUUGCAGAUACUUUGUGUGGAUUUCCCUCUUAUUUGAAAAGGGAAAGUAUUUGCAGAUACUUUGUGUGGAUUUCCCUCUUAUUUGAAAAGGGAAAAGAGAGAAAAUUGAUUGUCUGCAUAUGUUGUUAUUAGAAUUUUCUGGGAAACGUUGGGAGAUUUCAUAGGCUUCCAAUUGACGUGGUGAGAAAGAGGAAGAUAAAGAAUAGAGUUUGAACUGAUGCUAAACUCUACUUAAAUUUUAGAUAUGAUUUUCGGGAUUUACAAGUAAAAUGACGAAAACAAGAGUUGGGAGUUUGGAGAUUAAUUUAUUUAAGCAUCACAUGGUGAAAGUACAAGUUUUGUUUAGGGUAGGUGUGAAAUUAUUAUUGUUCAUCAGAUUCUUCAUUGUUCAUUGAUUUUUUUUUCCCUUUUUCCUCAAAAAUACUUAAUAUGAGCUUGAGGGUGCAGGUUGACAUACAGUGCUUGAUUGUUGCAUGUGUAGCUCCUUUGCCCAUAUAAAUUUGUGGCUUACUAUAUCUACCAUGAAAGAUAUGGAAUAUACAUCCAAGCCUAAAGGUGUUUAGGAAGAAUAGGAAAAUUUGGAAAUUGAGCUAUAGUGGAGUUUGCAGCAGUUGAUAGAAUAGACAAUAUUUCAGUGCAAACUGAAAAGAAGAUAUGGUUUUCUUUGCAUACGUUUAUAUAUUUAUUGAAAAGAUUAAAAUUCAUAAACACAAUGAAGCAUGAUGAUUGGUGUGAUAUGAUGCCUUGCUGGAAAAUGCUAUCAAGUUGUCAAUUAUGUAUUUGUAUUGGUUUCUAUCAUUAUGUGGUGGAGGUUUUGAAGACUUUCUUUGCAGGAAGUUUCUCAACAGAGACUGUUACACUUGGGUCAAUCCAGAUUUUUAAAACGCAUGAAUUUCUGGCUCGAAAACCAACCAUUUAUUUUUAUUGUAAAGGAGAGAACAAGAUAAUCCUGCCAGAUGUGAAGGAAAAACACUUCCUCUAUACUUUCAAGGGCAAAGAAUCUUGGCAGGUCUGCAAUUCUUCCAUUAUGUAGAUUACUCUGAAUUCGUCAAUGUUUCAUAAUUAUGCUAUGUUUUUUUAUUUAUCAUCCACAAUUACUAUUUUCUCUUGGUGUAGUGUGAAUAACCUUAGAUAAAUCAAGUUAGUACUAAAUGCAUAAACAACAAUCAUUCUCCUAUCUGUUAGUGGUUAGCCCUAAUUAACUGUGCUUGUGUGCGAGAAUUACUUCAUAGCUAUAUAUAUUGUUUUCCUUUGGUCAAUUUAAUUUGCAACAAACAAAGGUAUAUAUGGUUGGUCCCAGGGGAGCACCUUUGCUGAAUAAUCAUGACUGUUGUAAGCUUAUUCUGAAUUAUAAUUGGAAUAUGCCUUCUCUUGAAUGCUUAGAGAAAAAAAGGAUGAAUAAUUUGGUAUGUGUGUUAAUAAGGUUAUUGUUUUCCGAUUCUACUAUUGUCUCCUCAUUUUAUAGCGGCCUCAUGUUCUACUGCUGAUUCAAACUAGUUUUUCUAGAAGUUUGUUAUUGGGAAUUGGGUUCGCUAGUUGGUACCCCUCUCCUCAGCUCAAGCGCAGGGAAAAGGUUAUGGGUUCCAACCAAGAAAAAUUGAAAAAAUAUAAAAGUUCAUGAGUUUUGCUCUUUUUGGAAUGUUAAUAAGUGAAUCCUGUCCAUUUUCAAUUCUGCACUCUUCUAGAAUUUUUGGUUUCAUGUAAGCUUUUUUUUUUGGUUGGGGUUGGAGGGGUGGCAAGGCAGGCUAGAUAUGGUUAAAACCAAAAUAUUUGAAAGAUAUUAGCCUCAGCAGAGUCAGCAAUGCCCAACUGGCUGCUGUACUUAUGUGGGGAAUAGAGAGCCUUGUGUUGUAUUUGUUUUUCUUGCUCUAAGUUCUAAUAGGUUGUGGUAUGUUGAUUCAAUAGCCCUAAUCAUUGCCAUGGCCAUAUUUAAGAUCUUAGAAAUUCUUGUAAAGAUGAGAUCGAGCCUAUAAAAAUGUUAACUUGAGACUGUAUUCUUUUCUUCUGAACUGAAGAAAGAUAUAUUUUCCCAUUUGCCUCCGAAGUCGAUUGAAAAAUGAAUUUUUCUCCUAUAAUUCAUCAUUCAAGAGUAACUCUGCAUAUAACUUAUUUUAGAUCAUCACACCUUUUGCAGUUUAAAAGGUUUACUUGAUUUUGCUGCUAAUAAUUCAUCAAUUUACAUUAAAAAUUCCCUGAAUAAUUGAUGCUUUAUUUGUUGUUUUUGACUGGUAUGAAGAAUAAAUAGAAAUCAAUCCAUGUUUAUCUUAUCAUGCCUCUUCUUAAGAAAUUCAAGACAUGAUGUCUUUGAUCAUCUAGAGGGCUUAACAGUUGUAUACAACUCUUGACAUCACCCUAGCAACAAUGUCAAUCUUAAGCAUCCAGAACAAGUAUAUAUUCUCAAGAGCACAAAACCUCCAUAAUGUCCUCUCUGGUAUAUAAGCACACUCAUUUAAGCAAUUAGGUUGAAACUCUUUUUUUUAAUGGCUGAGCAUGGAACUCAAAUUUUGGGAGUCCAUACUCUACAAAGUACCAUAUUGUUUUCCAAAUUAUAAGGUGGCCUUGUGAUUUAAGCACUGAAUCAAAGACGUUCUUGGCAAAUCAUCAACAUACAGCAAUUCUUCACUAAAUUUUGCAUGGAUAAUUGUAAUGUGAUGAAGGCAUAGGCAUGCUUGAAUAUUUUGCUCAAUGUCUGAGCGGGAUCACAGAUUUUUUACCUCCAUACUUAAACUAUAGAAAGGCAGAUAAUUAUAUUCCAAUUAGUUUCAAACAUACUUGAAUAUAAUCCUAAAAAAAAUAAAAAAUUGAAAACUCAUUGUCUUUCAAUUAGUUCCAUCAUUAUAUUGAAGAUGCUCUUCAAAAAAGGCAUCUGACUACGAUCAAGACAUGGUUCUUCAAGGAGAUGACAUCCUCCUUGCUAUAUCUGGCUUUUCUUCAGCAUUGACAUCAGCUUUUUUAAUUACUAUCUUUGAAAUAGGAGGCCUAAAGUUCCCCCCUAAUUUUCAUUGAAUGAUGAAAGAUAUACAAAGUUUAGAAUGAAAUUCUUACAAAACCAGUAUGGAACUGAUAAUAGAUAUCCUAUUUACCAGCUUUUCUGUCAAUUAGAAGGUCCAGUGGAGAAAGUUACCUCUGAUGUGAUUAGCUACUGUGGCAUCUCGGGUGAUAGUGUUGAAAAUUCUGUUAUUACACUCUUUCCAAAUAUGUCAGAUGCCUGCUGCAGAUGAGUGGUCCCUGCCUUGCCGAAUAGGAGGAUGUGAGUCAUUUGUCCAAGUCGACCAGAAGGACUCAAGAUUGGCUGUUGGAGGCUUGCUGAUAUUUAAGAAAGAGAGAAAAUGUUGCCAAAUCUGGGCUGUGUAAUUUUGGGAUAAGAAUAGAUGGUCAUUAUUUUCCGAUAAGGUUGACAAAGCACAUAUUUUGAGCUUAUGGCUGGUUUUUAGCUUUGCAAUUUGACUUCUUUUAGUUUUGAACUUUUCUCAUCAUCACCUCUAUGCUGACGAUUAUGAGAGUUUGCCUGCAAUGUCUCUCCUAAGCAGAAAAUUACAACCUAUUGUAAAUGCUAAGGCACUUGUUCAGCAAAUCCAUAAUCCUCUCUUGUCUGCAAGUCCUAAGAGCAACCAAGGACCCUCUUGUCCCUGUUUUUGCCUCAAACUUCUACUUCACUGACAGAGGGUCUUUCAACUGCCAUCUGUCAAUGUUUCAGCUUUAAAUACAGAAGCCUAGCUGACAAGAGAAGUGUUUGUUUUUGGGAAAUUAACCAUAAUACUUUAUUCCACUUGCAGCCUCUGACAGAGCUUACAGAAAAUAAGUGCAAGCGCUGUGGUCUCUAUGAGAUGGACAGGAUAAAAUCUGAUGAUGUUUUUGAUGAGUGGGAGCUGUGCCUUGAUGAUUUUAUUGAUGGAAAAUCUAUACAUUUUAAGGAGAAGGAGUUCAAUGCCACAUUCAUAUGUGAGCAAUGUAGAGCUGCUGCUGGUCAGCUGUCCAUCUCUCUCUCUCUCUGUCUCCACCACUCCCUCCUCCUCAACCCCCCCCCCCUUCUCACUCUCUGCUUUGUAUAUAUUUAAUGUUUUUGCAUUCACAAUUUUCAUCCUAAUUCACAGAUUUAGUGCUGUAGUGGUGAGGAGAAUUGCUUUUUAAAGUCUUAUUAGCAGAUUUGUCCAAUUUUUCUUUUUUCUUUUUUUUUUUAAAAAGACCAAAUUUUCAGCAUGCUUAUCUCUGAAUUUUAUCUUCAACAAUAUAUUUUGCAUCUAUCAUGUCCUCUUCAUGCCAUUUCUGAGUUAUGGCCACCAAUGUUAUGUUGACAGCUGUUCCAGUUGUAGAUUCUGGUAUGACUUCUAGCUCAAAGAGUGGUUCUGCCAACAAGAAAAUGAAUGUGGUUCUAGUGAUGGUUAUCAGUGCAUUGGUUUCUGUUAUAGCUGCUGCGGGAACGGUUGGUGCAUACAAAUACUGGCAGAAGAGGAAGAGGGAACAAGACCAAGCUCGAUUUCUAAAGCUUUUCGAAGAUGGAGAUGACAUUGAAGAUGAACUUGGUCUGGAGCAGAUAUAACAAAAACCUAUAGCUUCAUUUUUUCAAAAAAUCAACAAUGUACUAUAUAUGGUGUUCGACCAAUUUCUGUUGGAUGUUCUACAGGCAUCAGAAUACUCUACCCAGAUUCUGGAUCACACACCAAGGCAACUUAAGGAGUGGACAAAUACAAUGUUCUUUGGAAGAAUUCUCAUAAUUUUGAGCUGAAGUUCAACAUUGUGUUGUAUCACGAUGAGAGAUCAGAACAGAUUCAAAUAUAUCUGGGAGGUGAGAUAGAGAUACUUGAGCUUUUGAUAAGAUUUCAUGCUGUUUUUAUAUUUUUGCCAAGCAUCAUGAUGAAAUGGCAAUUAACUUAUUCUUGCCCAUACCUACACGGAAAUUUUAUCAUAUAAAAUCCUCAUUAGGCUAAUCAAGCUGGCAAGUUUGUAAUAUAUUUCUUUAGCUUUUUAUAUACGCAUGAGACAGGCUCUUCCAUCGUGGAACUAUCAAUAACCAAAGUGAACAUUCACUUCUAUCAAAGGAUAUAAGACUCUUGGACCAUGCAGGUUUGGUUGGAGUCAGUCAUGUUUUAAUGCUUAUCCAAGUGUACAAUUCGUUGACUAAUUAGGUGCUUUAUGAAGACGGUCAGAAAGAAGCGGCCUUAGAGGUGGGGGAGGUGGAAUAAACAAGGUCAGAUAUUGGGAAACAACACCAAGAUUUGAAUCCAGAAUUUCCUACGAAAGCUGCAAAUGAAACUGGUGGAGUAUAAGCAGUCACAUUCUGGUUAAUUUACAAGGUUGCUCUUAUCAAUGGUGAUGCAAUUCCGGGAGCCUCAUUUGUGGGUGUCGCUGAAUGGGAUUUUGUGGAUUAAGCUAACUUCUAUACGGCCAACUCAUUACAGAUUGCAAGGUUAAAACUCAAUGCCCUAUGUUCCUACAAUCACCAAACUGUUUAAGUAUUGAUUUUUGCAGAGGCCGUAACCUACAAAAUAUGUUGAUUUAUGCAAGAUUUUAAAUUUCAUGGGACAGGACUGUUCUGAUUUUUUCAUGAAACAGAAUGCGAAGCCAUCCUGUCCCGCCCCAACAUUUGUCCCAAAGAAUGUCUCAAAGCAUCCCGAUCAGAACGCUGAGAUGCUAGUAGAACGGUUUGUCCCAAUGUACCGGAUGGUAUCCUAUCUCGAUGUCUCACCGGAUGUUUUGAAACGUUCUGCUGGAACUUGAAUCUUCGAAUUUAUGAUUAUGAGAGACCACAACCUCCCAAUAUAGAAGGAUUUUGCAUUCAAGGAGAUUGCUAACUUACUGAUGCUAUAGUACUCAUGCUCUGUAUUGUAUCAUCGCAUUCCAAAACGACCCAGGAUUUACAGGGACGCAAAAUUGGCUAGCCAAUUUGCUGCAUAUUGCCCUCAUGGAAGAUAUGAGAUAACCACACAUCCUGGAGUGAAUCCAGCCAAGAACAAACCUGACGUAAAACAUGGUUAUAGAUUAUAUAAGAUCUUUGGGGAAGCCAAAAUAUGACAGUGGAAGAAUUCUCCUCAAUCCACAAUUUCAGAACCUGUAGAUGAAAGAAAGAAUAAAUUUACCUAUCGAAGCAGCACAUAGCUCUGAUUAGGUGACUGAAACUCCUGACAAAUGGCUGCAUUACGCUGCCGCAAAUAAAACAUUUCUAAAUUCAACACCUCUGUCACCAUUCAGUCCAUUCAUAACUGGAGCAAAGGGGCAAACCCAUAGGAUAACCCAGAGUAAAACCCUGGCUGUCAGAAAUAAAAUGGUACAAAUUUUCUCUCUCUUUACCUUAAUAAUACCAUGCAGCCUUUGAUUUCACAAAAAUAAAACAUUAAGAAAAUCCAUUGGGAAUAGAAACUGUACAAAGUACGGGUUACAUCGAUAGAGUUUACAGAUGAUAUGGUAGUCAAGCACAAAGUCCCCUCGAACAGAGUCAACAGAAAUCUAUGCAAUAGUCAUUGGAGAAUAUAAAGCAUAGCUAGCAAUGUCAACCAUCUAAGAACCUCAACAAUCACUUCCACUUCUUGAACUUGCCAAACAUUCGAUGCUUCCCUCCAAACAUUCGAUGCUUCCCAAACCUCAUAUGCUUCCCAUGUUUGAACUUGCCAUGCUUGAACUUUCCAUGAUGGUACCCAUGGAACAUCCCAUGGCCAAGAUGAUGAUAGCCAUGGGCCAUAUGGUGAGCCCCAUAAGCAGCUGCAGCAGCAGCUGCACCCCCAGCCAUUAGUGCCCCCAUGCCACUAGAUCCAUGACCUGGAUACAGAAUUUCCAAAGUAAAUAACAAUAAAAUAGUAGAAAUUCAAGAAAAAAGGGGGGGAAAACAUAGCAACACUGAAGGCUCUUCAAGUUAUUUCCUUGUCUAGUGUUCACUGAAGUUGAGUUUUAGGAGCGUGUCCAAUAAAAUCGGAAAAGGGCUCAUCCUAAUGAGAACAAGCAUCUUUUCUUUGGUUUUUUCUUUUUUUUUUUUGUUCUUGAAGCUGAUGAUGGUAAUGAUGGUGAUAAUGAUAUAUAAAAGCAACAAAUAUCUACGAUGAUGUUAUCAGUGUUUUACAGCCUUGAAGGCAUUGGCUAAUUUAUUGUUGGAAUAUAGAAGACCGAUGGGUUUAUACUACUAAAAUAGCAUGAAAUGAAGCACUAUAUAAUUUCUGAUAUAUUAACAAGGUCGCUAAGCAUAUCAGUAAGGGUUUGGAAAAAUAAUCACAGAUGCUCUAUGAUGAAUACCAUGAUAUGGGGGAGCAGAUGGACUAGCACCAGGAUAACCUGAUGGUGGGUAUCCACCAGCAGGUGGAUAUCCAGAGGGUGGGUAUCCAUGAGGGGGAUACCCUGCUGGGGGGUAACCAUGUGGGGGGUAACCAUGUGGAGGAUAUGGGCCAGGCGCAGGUGGAUAUCCUUGUGGUGGGUAUUGGCCAGGUGGUGGGGCAUAUGGAUAUCCAGCAUGGUAUCCUGGUGGAUGUCCAGCAAGCCCAUAUGCAAUGUUUGAUAAAAACCCUUUGUCACUGGUGUCUGAGCCAUCAGGCUUAUCCUUCCCACCUCCCAUUUUCUUUACUGAGAUGACUGCAAAAGAAAGGACAAAAAACACAUAUUAAAAGUAUUAUUCAGAAAUCAGAACUUUGUACCAAAAAAAAAAGUAUUAUUCAGAACGUGACAUGUCAAAUAUCCUUCAGCAAUCUUGAACUCAACCAAGAACAACCAAAUAUAAAGCCACAUGAUCCAAGAGCACAAAUUGUUUGACCAAGUCCAUCACUGAUAAAAAAAAAUUCCUCUUUUUUUUUUUUGAGUAAACACUGAUUAAAAAAAAGUCAUGGACGGCUUUCUUAUUAGAACUUUAAUCAGGUUGUGACACACGCCAUAUAUAUGAAGCAUGUGACAAGGUGAUAAACACCAAAGGACAACCAGUCUUCUUGAGCAUGUAGACAUACAUCCAUCCAAAGUUUGUUGUACCAUCACGUACAUACCAUACCACACCGAACCACAUACCAAUACCGUAAUAGGAUAGUACCCGAACAGAGUUCGGUACUGAGAUGGCAAGCCUUGCAUCCAUCUAUGUCUUGCAUGAGAAACCAACAAAAAGAUUCUGAUCAGACAGUGUACACAAACUACCUGAGACUGCAAACUUAGCAAAUAUCCUUAGCAGCUUGUUGGGUCAUGAAAAUUGUUUUGGUUAACAAUAAUUUCUUGUAAGGUCUUUCUCGCAGGGGUUGUAUGGUAUAGUUUCCAUAAAAACAUAACAUGAAGAAACUGCCACCUUUGGAUGCACAGAUUUUGACCCUGCAAUGUAUCAACUGGUCUAAUCAAAACACAUCACUAUGCAACACGAGGGCUUGCCAGGGUGAAAACACACUACCAUGGACCAGUCAAUAGUGUGAGAGAAAAGAAAAUACAUAUACUCCGGUUAAGAAUUUUUUAUUUUCUUUAUUUUUUUUUCUAGUGUGCGCAAUCCAUAAUAUUAGACCAAAAAAUGUACCCAACAAACCCCUCCUCUAUUCUUCCUGACAUUUACUAACCCAAUCAGUUUCUCGCUGUUUUACUUGACCCGUCAUUUUAUUCGCCAUCCAUGAAGACCCCAAUCUUCCUCAAUCAAUGGUUUCCUAAAUUAUUUUUCCUAAUUUUAUUAAAUUACAACACCUAAUAACAGGUUCUUCAAAAAAAAAAAAAAAAAAAUGCUGUGCUCUUGUCUUGUCCUGAUGUUAUUUUCUUUCUGUAUUAAGAACAAUGCGUUUGAGACUCUACUUUAUUCAUGAGCACACAUAUAAACAUAUUUAAUGGAGCAUACAUGCAAAAUUAUGUGUUGAUCAAGGCUUUUAUCUUUUCUUGUAUCAGUCCGUUUUUGAGAAUUCAUCAUGUAUUAGCUUGAAAUCUUGCAGCGAUAUGAUCAUCAAAGACCAACAAGUAAAAGAAAACAGUAAUAAAGCUCUAGUUGCUGAUGUAUCAACAGAUGUGCGCCAAUUACUUGGAAUCAAUGGAACAUCUGUGGUAACUUGUAGCAGUGAUGAGAAAGCAAAAUCCUACAAGUGAUGACAGAGCAAAAUCCCAUAAAAAAGCUGACUUACCACCUUUUCCAAGAGGAGGGAAAAAAGUCAAAGGACAUACAGAAUUACUUUAAAUCAUCCCAGGAACGAGCCAUCUGACUAAACAUUCUAGGAAGAACCAAAAGAGCAUGCUAUCACCAAUAACAGAUAAUAACAAAAAUUGGUGCAAAAUACGUCAAUGUUAAACAGGUUCUGUAUUCUCAUCACUAUAUGAACUCCAUCUACAAUCAUCUGAAAAGGAAAAUAACAUUCCAUACCCUCUUACUUUGCUUUAUGGUUUUAAAUUCCAAUUGCAUUCACACAUUAGAUGGAAUAUUAAAUAAAACUUGCGCUUUCUAAUACUCAAUGGACAUGUCUGUCUAUAGGUGAUAUAAAAAUGAAUAAUGAACACAAGAGUAUGAGACCAAGAUUAAUAAAUUAUUUAUGCUGUGCUUGUUUGUGUGUGCUUUGUGCUAUGUGCGCAAGAAUGCAUGCAGGAGUAUGUCCAUGCAUGCAUGAUUAGGAGUCAUGCAUCUUAGCUGCCUCGGCAUCAAAGGUGCAGAAUGCUGAAGUCAUAACCAAGCCCAUAUAAUAUCACUUUAGUGUACAUCAUGGGAUGCUGACUCUGUGACGCUUGUUUUCAUUUAGAUAACACUUUCGAAUGCAAGGUUACUCAUUCUGCCCUCCGACAGCCCUUUUCAUGGUAAUUUUACUUGAACACUUUCUCAAGUCUUAACCAAGUUCCCUGAAAAGGAAAAAAAAAAAGGUCUUAACCAAGUUUCUAACAAUGGGGUCCUCUUACACUCACUCUAACCCCCUCAAACACAAGAAAAGGGGGAGCAUUUCUCCAAAUCCAACAAGUGACGAAUAACUUGUACUCACCACUACCAUCGCCGAUUCAAGAAACCGUGUCUAUAUCAUCAGCACACCAAAUCCAAGAAUAAUCAGCCCAUCAGCAUUUAUAAACAUACUUCACCCCGAUACAACCCAAAUAAUUUUGAAAAACGUCAAGAUUCCUCUACUCAAUAAUUUUGAGGCCCGAUUUACCUAAUGCAAAGCAAAUAUCGAAAUAUAACGACUAAUCUCAAUCAUUUUUUUUUCUUUAGUUUUAAAUUAAUAUUGGAUCAACAAAAUAAAAGAACACCGCAACCAUCACCUCGUUACGAGGAAACUCUUUUACUUUUAAUUUUUUUGAUAUAGGUCUUUGAUUAGAAAUUAUUCAGAAUUUCUAAUACCCUAUCCAAAACAAAAAUCCCAGCUUUUUCCUCACCGACAACAAACUCCAACAUACUAGAACCAAAUAGAACGACAAUACACAAAAUUUCAGAUGAUUCACGUUUUUCCUAUUAAAGAAUCGCCACAUGAUGCUCAAAUACAUGGAAAACAACAAAGUAACGAUUGGAUUCAUCAUGCAAUCGGUCCCAAAAAAUCCAAAUAAACCAACAGAUCAAUAUAAGGGGAAAAACACACAAUAUAGAGGCGCA